rnacentral:snoRNA from 1 species
UCAAAUGAUGAGAAAAAUCGAUUAGCUCUAGAUCAGGAGUCGCAUUUGCGGCGGUGACGGACAUAUCAUGUAUUAUCUGAUGA